UACGUAGGGUGCGAGCGUUAAUCGGAAUUACUGGGCGUAAAGGGUGCGCAGGCGGCGUCGCAAGUCAGGCGUGAAAUCCCCGGGCUUAACCUGGGAACUGCACUUGAAACUACGAUGCUGGAGUACGGCAGAGGGAGGUGGAAUUCCACGUGUAGCGGUGAAAUGACGUAGAGAUGUGGAGGAACACCGAUGGCGAAGGCAGCCUCCUGGGCCAAUACUGACGCUCAUGCACGAAGCGUGGGGAGCAAACAGG
rnacentral:rRNA from 1 species